CACAAUCAGAUCUCUUUC
rnacentral:miRNA from 1 species